rnacentral:rRNA from 1 species
UACAGAGGGUGCAAGCGUUAAUCGGAAUUACUGGGCGUAAAGCGUGCGUAGACGGUUAUUUAAGUCGGGUGUGAAAGCCCCGGGCUCAACCUGGGAAUUGCAUUCGAGGCUGAAUAGCUAGGGUGCGGAAGAGGGAAGCGGAAUUUCCGGUGUAGCGGUGAAAUGCGUAGAUAUCGGAAGGAACACCCGUAGCGAAGGCGGCACUCUGGGCCGGUACUGACGCUGAGGAGCGAAAGCGUGGGGAGCAAACAGG